UACGUAGGGUGCGAGCGUUAAUCGGAAUUACUGGGCGUAAAGCGUGCGCAGGCGGUUUUGUAAGUCAGAUGUGAAAUCCCCGGGCUUAACCUGGGAACUGCAUUGGUGACUGCAAGGCUUGAGUGUGUCAGAGGGAGGUGGAAUUCCGCGUGUAGCAGUGAAAUGCGUAGAUAUGCGGAGGAACACCGAUGGCGAAGGCAGCCUCCUGGGAUAACACUGACGCUCAUGCACGAAAGCGUGGGGAGCAAACAGG
rnacentral:rRNA from 1 species